rnacentral:lncRNA from 1 species
AAAUCCCAUGGCCUCCAACGGCUUGUUAGACAGUCUGAACUUGAUUUCAAAUACGAACACACAGAGGCACAUCAAGAAGAUUCCAAUCAUAUAGCCAAGCACGUCGACAUAUAAGCCAUAUUUAUAGAGAAUAUGAAAAUUUAUCCAGGUGUAUGCGAUGAUAAUCAGGGAAUGCAUCACCAUUGAGUAGACUCCUCCCGUAAACACUCUGCCAUAUAUUAUGAUAGAGUGAUGAGAGUUUAUGGUUGAGAAAUGAGAAGUAGUAAUAUUCUCUCUACAAAAUUGCAGAGUAUAUCAUAUAUAUAAUGGUAUAUCUAAUUAAAAGUAUACAUAAUUUAUACCAAUUACUAGAUAUCUUUAAAAUCUCUAUAUAUAUUCACAAUAUCUUUUAAAAGAAAUUAAUUGACUACUAGUUUUUUAGUGUAACAUAGACACUCACAUGAUGAUAAAUCGAAGUCCGCGGUUGACUAAGCUUCUUUCGGUGUUGGUAUCAUCCAUCUGCAAAAAAAAAAAAAAAAAAAAAAAAAAAAAAAAAAAAAAGUUAAAUCUAGUCUCAAAAGAAAAAAUCAUGGGCUUACAAAACUUUUUCUUUAGAACAUUUUUCUGCAGUUUUAUAUAUAUAUAAACGUAAAUAUCAGUAAUGAUAUGAUUAACCAGGAAAGAAAGGCAUGCGUAGCCAAAAAGAGAUAAAAACGUGGGAGAGUCUAAAGGGUGAGCCACUGCAUUAGGUUAUCAAAACUCGUCUUGAGAUUUGCUUAGAAGAAUGACCGUGAUUAUACCUAUAUUUAAAUCCAUGGUUAAAUAUAAUACCAACUAAGAAAAGUUGUAUCAAUAAAUUUAUGUGGAUUUGCAGAGUAUUUUCGUUUCUAUGACGAAUACCAAAAAAACACACACAGAGAUGUAUAUCCACAAAAUAUAAAACACUAAGAAGAAAGAUUGAUUGAGUAUACUCACCGAUGAUAGUUUUAGUGACAACAACGUAAAUGGUGACGAAGAGUCGAAGACUAGAUACGGUGAAAAGAAGAGAGCUAGAGAAUUACUUUAAUAAAAAUAUUUCUGUUAAUUA